rnacentral:rRNA from 1 species
ACACAUGGCAAGGUCGUACGAGAAAGGGUCCUUCGGGACCUGAGUAAAGUGGCGNAGNNGNGAGUAACGCGNUGGAUAAUCUGCCCUUCAGUUGGGAANAACUCAUCGAAAGGUGGGCUAAUACCGAAUAAUACUGCAAGACUUUGGUCGAGCAGUCAAAGAGAGCCUCUGCUUGCAAGCCCUUGCUGAAGGAUGAGUCCGCGUACCAUUAGCUAGUUGGCAGGGUAACGGCCUACCAAGGCGACGAUGGUUAGCUGGUCUGAGAGGAUGAUCAGCCACACUGGAACUGAGACACGGUCCAGACUCCUACGGGAGGCAGCAGUGAGGAAUCUUGCGCAAUGGGGGAAACCCUGACGCAGCAACGCCGCGUGAGUGAGGAAGGCCUUCGGGUCNUAAAGCUCUGUCAGUUGGAAAGAAAUGUCUGAGAGUCAAUACCUUUCAGGCUUGACGGUACCAACAGAGGAAGCACCGGCUAACUCCGUGCCAGCAGCCGCGGUAAUACGGGGGGUGCAAGCGUUGUUCGGAAUUAUUGGGCGUAAAGAGCGUGUAGGCGGCCGGAUGUGUCAGAUGUGAAAGCCCUGGGCUUAACCCAGGAAGUGCAUUUGAAACUGUCCGGCUUGAGUAGGGGAGAGGGAAGUGGAAUUCCUGGUGUAGAGGUGAAAUUCGUAGAUAUCANGAGGAACACCGGUGGCGAAGGCGACUUCCUGGCCCUAUACUGACGCUGAGACGCGAGAGCGUGGGUANCAAACAGGAUUAGAUACCCUGGUAGUCCACGCCGUAAACGAUGUUCACUAGGUGUUGGGGGGUAUUGACCCCCUCAGUGCCGGAGCUAACGCAUUAAGUGAACCGCCUGGGGANUNACGGUCGCAAGACUAAAAC